rnacentral:tRNA from 2 species
UGCGGGGUGGAGCAGUGGUAGCUCGGCGGGCUCAUAACCCGUAGGUCGUAGGUUCGAAUCCUGCCCCCGCUACUA